rnacentral:sRNA from 1 species
CUAUAAAAAGGGAAUCAAUUAUAAGGAGAACAGGGUAAUUUUCUAGCUUUUCUAGCUAGGAGUAAAGCUUCAUUAUCAAUGUUAAUACUCAAAUAUUUACCACACAGUUUUUAUAUAAAGUAUGUUGUUUCAUUGUCAAACUUGACCUUUUAAAUAAUCUAACUCCUUUUUAAUUUAAAUCCUGUUUUAAUUCAUGACACUGGAAGCUAUAUAUAUAAUAACCUUUUUUUCAUUUUUUAGUUGGACAACUAGUGGUUUGAAGAGCCAGGGCCGUCUGUCAGUAGGAAGUAAUCGUGAUCGAGAGAUCAGCAUGUCUGUUGGUCUGGGAAGAUCACAAUUAGAUUCUAAAGGAGGAGUAGUUGGAGGGACCAUAGAUGUCAAUGCUUUGGAGAUGGUUGCUCAUAUUUCUGAACAUCCAAAUCAGCAACCCAGUCACAAAAUUCAGAUUACUAUGGGUUCUACUGAAGCUCGUGUUGAUUACAUGGGCUCAAGUAUCCUCAUGGGCAUCUUCAGUAAUGCUGAUCUUAAGCUUCAGGAUGAAUGGAAAGUAAACUUGUAUAAUACAUUGGAUUCAAGCAUAACUGAUAAAAGUGAGAUUUUCGUCCAUGGAGAUUUGAAGUGGGAUAUUUUCCAAGUAAUGAUAUCAAGGUCAACCACACCAGAUCUGAUAAAAAUAGGAAUGAAGCUCCAGGAAUUUUUCACACAACAAUUUG